GGUGCUUGCCGCGCCCCCUGGCCCAUCUAUGCUGGGCAGGGCAGAAAUGCAAGUCUAGUGAGAACCCUGUUUGCUGGCCUGGGGCCUGAUUCUGAGGCAUGAUCCGAACACAGCCCUCGAUCCCAACUAAGCCCUGCUUUAGCCCUGCUGUGCCACCGACCGGGAGCUGCCUGAGAGUAAACUGCAGGGUGGGGUGAGGAGGCCGACUGGGCACUGCCCACCACUGGUCACCACUCCCGAAGGGAAGAACCACCGGUGCCAAACCCAGUCGGACCUGCUGGCUAAGCACAGUAGAUCUGCAAGGGCCUGGUCUCAGAGUGGGGGAACUGUGUGAUCCCACCCCCAGGAGAGGUAAAGACACCAGGCCUAACACCUGAGGCGUGCACUGGGAGAGGCCAGAGGGGCAGCCAGCCCUGCAACCAUGACCGCCCUAUUGC